AGAGUUCGGACCCGAACUUUGAUGUUAAUCCAAUUAAUGCGCGAUCAGGUAAACACGGCCGCCAUGCUCUCCUGUGACAUCAACAAACUACGGGUGCCGACGAGGGAUCCUCGCUGGAGACAAAAGUCACACUAGAAGGAGUGAUGCAGUAAAUCUGCAGGGAUCGACUGCUGUGAUCAGUUUCAUGUGGACAGAAGUUCUUCCCCAUCAGAUGCUUUCCUUUCACAGAACGCCAAAACCUUUUGGAUCAUCAGCAGAAACCUGGACUUUACUGACUUACAGGAUCAUCAGUAAAUAUUUAAGCUCCAGUAUAAGUUGGGGGGGGCGAAGGAACAGCUACAUGUUUAAAGGAGCGUUUUUAUUUUAAAUAUCGGCUUCAAGGUUUUAGCAGAAAGAACGUCGCUGUGGUUCUGGCUGGUUCUGGUUGGUGCCUGCAGGCCGCUGUGGUUCUGGCUGGUUCUGGUUGGUGCCUGUAGGUCGUUGUGGUUCUGGCUGGUUCUGGUUGGUGCCUGCAGGUCGCUGCCACGUUAGCGGCGCUGCCCCCGCUGCUGUGAAGGAGGUUA